rnacentral:rRNA from 1 species
GUAGGGAAUAUUGGACAAUGGGGGGAACCCUGAUCCAGCCAUGCCGCGUGGAGGAAGACUGCCCUCUGGGUUGUACACUCCUUUUAUAUGGGAAGAACCGUCCUCAUUAAUGAGUGACCUGACGGUACCAUAGGAAUAAGCACCGGCUAACUCCGUGCCAGCAGCCGCGGUAAUACGGAGGGUGCAAGCGUUAUCCGGAUUCACUGGGUUUAAAGGGUGCGUAGGCGGAUAAAUAAGUCAGUGGUGAAAUCAACGGGCUCAACCUGUUAACUGCCAUUGAUACUGUGUAUCUUGAAUAUGAGAGAGGUAGGCGGAAUGUUGCAUGUAGCGGUGAAAUGCUUAGAUAUGCUACGGAACACCGAUUGCGAAGGCAGCUUACUAUUUCGUAAUUGACGCUGAGGCACGAAAGCGUGGGUAGCGAACAGGAUUAGAUACCCUUGUAGUCC